AACGGCCGCGGUAUAUUGACCGUGCAAAGGUAGCAUAAUCAUUAGUCUUUUAAAAGGAGGCUGGAAUGAAAGGUUUGACGAGACAUUGACUGUCUCAUCCUCAAUUAUUAAAAUUUAACUUUUAAGUUAAAAGGCUUAAAUUUUAUUGGAAGACGAGAAGACCCUAUAGAGCUUUAUGGUUUUGUCUUUAUUUUCUUUAUAAUUAGUUUUAUUGAUUGAACUGUUUUGUUGGGGUGACAAGAAAUAUAAAUUUAACUUUUUUAUUUUUAAUACAUUUAUUUAUGAUUCUUUAGAUCCAUUAUUAUUGAUUGUUAGAGUAAGUUACCUUAGGGAUAACAGCGUAAUCUUCUUUUGGAGUUCAAAUUUACAAGAAGGAUUGCGACCUCGAUGUUGGAUUAAGAUUAUAACUGGGUGCAGUAGCUCAGCGGUAUAGGUCUGUUCGAC
rnacentral:rRNA from 1 species